GCUGGCGUAGCUCAAUCGGUAGAGCAGCUGUUUCGUAAACAGCAGGUUACGCGUUCAAGUCGCGUCGCCAGCU
rnacentral:tRNA from 1 species